GUUAGACGCAAUGACUAAAUAUAUACUCUUUAAUCAUUGGUCAGACGUCAAUAAUUACCAAUUACUAAUAAUUGCAAUUACCAUUCUAGUUGAUUGGGGUCUGCUGAUGACUAUUUAAAUAGUUUAUAAAUACAUAUACUUACGUCGCUUUGUGUAAAAUCACCGGUAAUAAACGGUGGCAGCCAUAAUAUAAAAGAAGAAGAAUUCUUAAGUCAGUUUAACAGUUGUACUCGAAGAGCAUUACAAUACUGCUUUGGUGAAUACAGAAAGUUGCCGGUUAUAAUUAUUUCUACUAAAAUAAAUGUAAUUAAGAUCCAUCAACAUGAUUAUAUUGACUGGAAACAGUCUAAACGAGAGACAUCGGGAACUGAACACUAAAGUGAAUCAAGCAGUAACAAAUGGUGUGUCGUUUGAUAAAGUCAAAUUACAAAAUGAGAAGACUGACAUUGACAGACUGUUUAAAAUAGACUUGGCAAACAAGAAAAAAAAGAUAGACUACAUUAUCGAGACCCUCAAGUGCGGAGACAGCGUGUAUAUCACCAGAACAUUAAAAUGUCAAUGGCUUUAUCACAAAGAGUUUGCCCACAUUGUCAAUCCAGAUUACCUGGAACAACAUGUUUUCCCAGAAAUGUCAUUGAAGAUGAGAA